UUGCUCUUCAACGAGGAAUGCCUAGUAAGCGCAUGUCAUCAGCAUGCGUUGAUUACGUCCCUGCCCUUUGUACACACCGCCCGUCGCUACUACCGAUUGAAUGGCUCAGUGAGGCGUUCGGACUGGCCCAGGGAGGUCGGCAACGACCACCCAGGGCCGGAAAGUUCGUCAAACUUGGUCAUUUAGAGGAAGUAAAAGUCGUAACAAGGUCUCCGUAGGUGAACCUGCGGAGGGAUCAUUACUGAGUGAGCGCUCUCGGGCGCGACCUCCAACCCUUUGUAUUCCGACCACGUUGCCUCGGGGGCGACCCGGCCUUUGGGCGUUGGGGCCCCCGGUGGACAUUCAACUCUGCAUCUUUGCGUCUGAGUAUGAUAUUGAAUCAAUCAAAACUUUCAACAACGGAUCUCUUGGUUCUGGCAUCGAUGAAGAACGCAGCGAAAUGCGAUAAGUAAUGUGAAUUGCAGAAUUCAGUGAAUCAUCGAAUCUUUGAACGCACAUUGCGCCCCUCGGUAUUCCGGGGGGCAUGCCUGUUCGAGCGUCAUUACACCCCUCCAGCCUCGCUGGUGUUUGGGCGUCGCGGAUGCACAGUCUGCGCGCCUUAAUGUCGCCGGCCGGACCGACCGUCUCUAAGCGUUGUGGUAACAGUUCGCUUGCGGGCACGGGAGGGACGUAGCCGUUAAACCUCUAUCACAGGUUGACCUCGGAUCAGGUAGGGAUACCCGCUGAACUUAAGCAUAUCAAUAAGCGGAGGA
rnacentral:rRNA from 1 species